rnacentral:sRNA from 1 species
GCCAGGCACAAUGGUGCAUGCCUGUAAUCCCAGCAGCUUGGGAAGCUGAGGCAGGAGGAUUGCCAGUUCUAAGCCAGCCUCAGCUAAAGCGAGGCGCUUAGCAACUCAAUGAGACCCUGUCUCUA